rnacentral:rRNA from 1 species
UCAGGACGAACGCUGGCGGCGUGCUUAACACAUGCAAGUCGAACGAUGAAGCCCUUCGGGGUGGAUUAGUGGCGAACGGGUGAGUAACACGUGGGCAAUCUGCCCUUCACUCUGGGACAAGCCCUGGAAACGGGGUCUAAUACCGGAUAUGAGCCUGGGAGGCAUCUCCCGGGUUGUAAAGCUCCGGCGGUGAAGGAUGAGCCCGCGGCCUAUCAGCUUGUUGGUGAGGUAAUGGCUCACCAAGGCGACGACGGGUAGCCGGCCUGAGAGGGCGACCGGCCACACUGGGACUGAGACACGGCCCAGACUCCUACGGGAGGCAGCAGUGGGGAAUAUUGCACAAUGGGCGAAAGCCUGAUGCAGCGACGCCGCGUGAGGGAUGACGGCCUUCGGGUUGUAAACCUCUUUCAGCAGGGAAGAAGCGAAAGUGACGGUACCUGCAGAAGAAGCGCCGGCUAACUACGUGCCAGCAGCCGCGGUAAUACGUAGGGCGCAAGCGUUGUCCGGAAUUAUUGGGCGUAAAGAGCUCGUAGGCGGCUUGUCACGUCGAUUGUGAAAGCCCGAGGCUUAACCUCGGGUCUGCAGUCGAUACGGGCUAGCUAGAGUGUGGUAGGGGAGAUCGGAAUUCCUGGUGUAGCGGUGAAAUGCGCAGAUAUCAGGAGGAACACCGGUGGCGAAGGCGGAUCUCUGGGCCA